CUACGAAAGGUGCAAGCGUUGUUCGGAUUUACUGGGCGUAAAGAGAUCGUAGGUGGUUUGUUAAGUCGGAUGUGAAAUCCCGGGGCUCAACCCCGGAACUGCAUUCGAUACUGGCAGACUAGAGUUUGGGAGGGGUAAGCGGAAUUCCGUGUGUAGCAGUGAAAUGCGUAGAUAUACGGAGGAACACCUGAGGCGAAGGCGGCUUACUGGACCAAUACUGACACUGAGGAUCGAAAGCGUGGGUAGCAAACAGGAUUAGAAACCCUAGUAGUCC
rnacentral:rRNA from 1 species